UUUCAUUUUAAAAGCUAAAACUUUGAUUAUUGUGACUGUUUUGAUUUCUUCAUCUUUCAUUUAAAUUUAAAGAGAUGUCAGAGUAUCCAAUUCCCAAUUCCCAAUUUCCUAAUCAAAAUCAGUGCACUGAUUGUGAUUGGUCUUUAUCAUUGUCAUCUGCGUUUCUCGUUUUGCAAGAAAUUUGUGAUGGUCCUUUUUAUGUGGAGAAAGCUGAUCUUGUUUCUAACAAUGGGUCAAGUUUGUUUUUCUCGUUUCGAGGAAAAAAGUUAAUCACCUAUAAGAAGCAGGGUAAAGAAUUUGCAUCAUUUAUCAAACACUAUGGAAAUGAAAAUGAUUGUAAAAAAGUGGUCAGUGAACUUAAUCAAUCUCGCUAUGGAACAACUUAUCCUAACCAGCCACCAUCAAACAGUUUUAGUAAUGGCCUCUUGCUUCAGCAAUUGAGCAGCCAGAGAACAAUAAAUGUCCCGUUUAAUUUUGCAAGCUCCUUGUACUAAUAUUUUCAUACAGCAAAUGUCCGAUCGAACCAAAAAAAAGUAAAAUCCUCUCUUGAGGGAACAAAUAGAUUUUUGAAACUUUUUAAGAACGUUAGAGUAUAAAAAAGAUCUCAUCCAUCCAUUGGUUAAGGAUGAUCCAAAGUUCCUGUUUACUUUAUUAUCUACACCAAAUUAAACUAAAGAAUCUUUUUUUUCAACAUUCGACACUGGACUUGGAUUAAGUUCUAAUUCAAUUCUAAUUUGCUCAACAAGAAUUUAACAUAUAAUUUUUCUUUCAUCCAAUUAUUUCUUAAUCCAAUUGGUAUUAAAUUAUUAUAAUAAUCAAUCCAAUGUUCACUCACCAUGAGCAGCGUCCAUAUCAGUAUGAUUAGUUGAAUACUGAUUACCUCUAUUGUUGCCUAGCCAAACAUCGUAACCUUGAUUAGCUAAAAACGUGGCUAAAUUGUUACCAGUGACCAAAGGCUUAUGCUUAUUAACCCAUGGAGAGUUAAUCAGCCAACAGGCUGUGGUCAAAGCUAAACCAUGGUCAAGGAAAACGGAUGUAAAUUGUUAAGCGGCCUGAACGAAUCGAUUGUGCAUCCAAAAGAGACAACAAUUAACAAGAAAAUUUCCUAAUAAGUUGAAUUUGGAUUGAUUAUAAAAAAGGCUUCCAAGCAAAGCGUAUAAAUUGUUUCCUUGUUUUAUUUUCUAUUCCUUUAAUUGUACCAACAGAAAAUGUCCAAAUAUUGUAUCAAGUUGAUCACUUUAAUCUUCUUUACUUGAUCGUCCAUUUUUCUUGUAAUCAAAUUGAUUCGCUCAUCAAUCGAUAAAUCAUUUUCUUUUUCAUUGUUAAUCAACUUCCGAAGCUCAUAAAUUAACUCUAUGAAUACCUGGAGAUCACUGAAGCUUCAAGGCCUAAUCAUAAUUAAGAAACAGAGAGAGAAAAAAAGUGAUUUAACUUUAAUUUCAUGAUGAAAUUUGAUUAACUUUGAUCGGUUAACACUCUUCACUAAACAUUUGAUCGACUGUUAAUCACUUUCCGUUGAAAAUUAACUUAAUUUCUUAUAAAACUAUCAGACAACAAUCAA